CUUAUAAAUAUUAUUUAUAUAUAUAAUUAAUAAUAUUAUUAUGUUAGGAUUUGGUUAGAUUUGUAGUUAAAGCCUAUUUGGAUAAGAAUUAAUAUUUAAAUUUAUUUGAGAUAAAUUAAGAUUUAAAUAUUAAUUAGAGGAUAAACCUAACUAGAUUAGGAUUAAUAUUUAAAAAUUAAAUCUAUUAGAGAUUGAUUAAGAUAGAUUUAGAUAUUAAUUAAAGUAUGAAUCCUAAAUAUAUUAGGAUUUGAUAUAUUCUUGAUGGAGCAUUAUAUAUAAUGCAUUAGAGUCUCUUUUUGGGGGAGUACGGCUGAAGCUUGGGUGCCGUACCAGAGAGAGAAAAAGAGAGAGAGAGUUAUUUAGUGCUCCUAGUGCACGAGUGCACGCAGAUGGAUUGUCUUUUAGGUUUAUAAAAGACGAGAGAAUGGUAGAAAAGAUUCAGGAAGAGGGCUCGGGUUGUAACUACUCAGUUGCAGAAGAUGAGUCAGGUGUAAUCUUCUCUUCUUUAAAGAAUCUUAUUUUACCUGCAUAUUUUUCUCUUUUAUGAUUGUAUUAGCUUUUGUUGAGGAGACGGGUUUAUGGUAAAAAUCCGAUUUGACGUUUCCGUUGUGGAAUCCCAACAAUCGAUACUGGAUCCACAGCAGUCGGUAUCGGAGCGGGUUGCGGAUUCACGAGAUCCAGUACCGGGGCGAAUACCGGAUUCCCAACAAUCGGUAUCAGAGCCGAAGGUUACCUAUCUGCGGGAGAGAUCGACGGAGAUGGCCACGAAAUUCGAAAUCGAUAAGUUCGACGGCAAGAACAAUUUCGGAUUAUGGCAAAUUAAAGCACGAGCAAUUCUCGUACAGCAAGAGUUAGACGAGACGUUAAACGGGAAGGAGGCAAAGCCGGCGGACGUCACGGAUGCGGCAUGGACGAAGAUGGAGCGGAAGGCGCUGAGUACGCUUCAUCUAUCAUUAGCAGAUGAGGUUCUUUACAAUGUAGGCGGCAAGACGACACCGACGAAAUUGUGGAAGAAAUUGGAAGAUCUGUACAUGACCAAAUCCUUGACGAACAGAUUAUAUCUAAAGCAGCGACUGUUUACGUUGCGGAUGCAAGAAGAGGCGAGCCUACAUGAUCAUCUAAAUGAGUUCAACAAGGUGGUCGCCCAGUUGACCAGCAUCGGAGUCAAUCUGGAUGACGAAGACAAGGGGUUGAUCCUACUAUCUUCGCUACCGACGAUAUAUGAGCAUCUGGUGACCACGUUGCUUGAUGGCAAGGAGUCCAUAAGCGUGGAGGCGGUCACGACGGCGCUUCUCUCGAACGAGAUGCGGAAGAUGACUCAGGAGUCCGGCACGCAAAGUCAGGAUGUAGGACUGGUGGUGACUGCGAAGAAGGAGGCGAGAAUAUCGGCGACUGGAUAUCGGCAGAAGAGACCGCUAUCUGAGGUAGAAUGCUUUUACUGUCACAGGAAGGGGCAUAUCAAGCGCUAUUGUCGAAAACUUCAGGAUGAUCUGAAGGAGUUAAAGCGACAGAAGGUGCAAACUGUCGUGAACCAGGACGAGACGGUAUCAGCGACGGCGGAGACAGCAGAGUCGGAGAUGAUCGAUUCUGAUGUGCUGUAUGCGGCAACCGGAGGUGCGAAAAUUUCGGACGAUGCGUGGGUGCUCGAUUCGGCGUGUUCUUUUCACGUAUGCCCGGAGAAGGAGUCUUUUGCCACCUAUAAGGCGACCAAAGGUGGAAAGGCGCUGAUGGGGAACGGGACAGCAUGCAAAGUAUUGGGAGUCGGCAUGGUGAAAAUUCGAAUGCACGAUGGGGUCGUGAGGACGCUGACAGGUGUGCGGCACGUUCCUGGAUUGAAGCGGAAUUUGAUCUCGUUAGGCGCAUUGGACUCGAAGGGUUGCGAUAUUUCAGCUUCAGGUGGAGCUAUGAGGGUCCGAAAACGAGAUCGGGUCGUAUGCGAGGCGAACAAGCGUGGGAACUUAUACGUUCUGAACGGGAGCACAACCAGAAUGGGAGCGAAGACGGUUUGGGUUCCAAAAGUUCCCGGAUAUGCAGUUGCUCGAGACGGAGCGACGGAUGCGGCGACAUCAAGCGGAGGAGACAAGCUCAAGGUGGAGCUUGCAUGGUGAGCUCGACGUAGCAGUUGAAAAUUACAAAUCAAACCAAGGUGGAGAAUGUUAGGAUUUGGUUAGAUUUGUAGUUAAAUCCUAUUUGAAUAAGAAUUAAUAUUUAAAUCUGUUUGAGAUAAAUUAAGAUUUAAAUAUUAAUUAGAGGAUAAACCUAACUAGAUUAGGAUUAAUAUUUAAAUCUAUUAGAGAUUGAUUAAGAUAGAUUUAGAUAUUAAUUAAAGUAUGAAUCCUAAAUAUAUUAGAUUGGGUACAUUCUUGAUGGA
rnacentral:lncRNA from 1 species